GUGCUUGCUUCGGCAGCACAUAUGUGCUAAAAUUGGAACGAUACAGAGAAGAUAGCAGGCCCCUGCACAAGGAUGACACACAAAUUCAUGAAGCAUUCCAUAUUUUU
ensembl:snRNA U6 U6 spliceosomal RNA